CCUACUAGGAUUGUGCCAAGUGAAGUCUACAAAAGCUCAUGACCAGACCUAUGUACAGGUGGCAAAGCAACGUUGUUUGGAGGAGUGCAGACUUGAUCAACAGGAUUAUACGAGAAGAUUAUUUUGCCCUCGUACAAUAUCCAAAUGAUAUGUGGUGGGGUGGAGUGCUUUUAACUUUUGUUUUCUAAUUAUUGACUUUUAACUUGAAAAAGAAAAUUGUACCAAACAGGCCCGAUAUGGAAAGACAUGUUUACCUCUA